rnacentral:rRNA from 1 species
GACGAACGCUGGCGGCGUGCUUAACACAUGCAAGUCGAACGGAAAGGCCCUGCUUUUGUGGGGUGCUCGAGUGGCGAACGGGUGAGUAACACGUGAGUAACCUGCCCUUGACUUUGGGAUAACUUCAGGAAACUGGGGCUAAUACCGGAUAUGAGCUCCUGCUGCAUGGUGGGUGUUGGAAAGUUUCGGCGGUUGGGGAUGGACUCGCGGCUUAUCAGCUUGUUGGUGGGGUAGUGGCUUACCAAGGCUUUGACGGGUAGCCGGCCUGAGAGGGUGACCGGCCACAUUGGGACUGAGAUACGGCCCAGACUCCUACGGGAGGCAGCAGUGGGGAAUAUUGCACAAUGGGCGGAAGCCUGAUGCAGCAACGCCGCGUGCGGGAUGACGGCCUUCGGGUUGUAAACCGCUUUCGCCUGUGACGAAGCGUGAGUGACGGUAAUGGGUAAAGAAGCACCGGCUAACUACGUG